UACGUAGGGUGCGAGCGUUGUCCGGAAUUAUUGGGCGUAAAGAGCUCGUAGGCGGUGUGUCGCGUCGGCCGUGAAAGCCUGGGGCUUAACUCUGGGCGUGCGGUCGAUACGGGCAUCACUGGAGUUCGGCAGGGGAGACUGGAAUUCCUGGUGUAGCGGUGAAAUGCGCAGAUAUCAGGAGGAACACCGGUGGCGAAGGCGGGUCUCUGGGCCGAUACUGACGCUGAGGAGCGAAAGCAUGGGUAGCGAACAGG
rnacentral:rRNA from 1 species